GAUCGGUCGACAUACUUGCGUAUUACGGCAACCGCUUUUCUAUUAGAAAUCUCCCAUGCUUUAUCAUCCUUUCUAUCCGGCUUAUCCUUCAUGAUGAUGGGCUCAUGCAAAUCCUUGCAAUAAAGGUGAUCUUCCAUCAUCGGUUUCCAAUAAGAGAAGUUGUCCGUCGUGAGCUUGAACAUGUCACCUUAAAAGGUAACGGUGGCCUCCAUCUUCAUUUCUUCAAAGAUAACGGUAACCUUGCUCUGAUACCAGCUGUUGGGAAAGAUAGCGGAUAAUAUUUUUUUCGAGAGGUUAAGAUGGAAUGUAAACGAUUUAUGUUUGAGAUAGCCUUCGUAUUUUAGGAAAGAGAUUUUCUACUAAGGCUUGUGUUUGGAGAUUUCUUGGAGACUUUUAGAACUCUUUAUGAAAUGUUUUCUCUCUAUUACUUUUCUUGAUUCUUGAUGAUUACAAGUGAACUAGACAUCCCUAUUUAUACUAGUAAGUGGAGACUACAAGUUAGUUCUAGAACACUCCAUCUUCUACACACUUCAUCUUCUACACAUUUCGUUUUCUACACACUUCUUCGUCCUUCUCCAUUUUUCUCUAGA
rnacentral:lncRNA from 1 species